rnacentral:rRNA from 1 species
GACAGAGGGUGCCAACGUUGUUCGGAAUUACUGGGCGUAAAGCGCGUGUAGGCAGCGACUGCAAGUCGGGUGUGAAAGCCCUGGGCUCAACCUAGGAAGUGCACUCGAAACUGCAGGGCUUGAGUUCUGGAGAGGAAGGCGGAAUUCUCGGUGUAGAGGUGAAAUUCGUAGAUAUCGAGAGGAACAUCGGUGGCGAAGGCGGCCUUCUGGACAGUGACUGACGCUGAGACGCGAAAGCGUGGGGAGCAAACAGG